GGGGGUAUAGUUCAGUGGCAGAGCGCAUGCUUAGCAUGCACAAGGCCCUGGUUCAAUCCCCGGUGCCUGCA
rnacentral:tRNA from 1 species